CGGGAUCCGAUUAACGCGAAGAACCUUACCCACCCUUGACAUGCCACUAACGAAGCAGAGAUGCAUUAGGUGCUCGAAAGAGAAAGUGGACACAGGUGCUGCAUGGCUGUCGUCAGCUCGUGUCGUGAGAUGUUGGGUUAAGUCCCGCAACGAGCGCAACCCUUGUCUCUAGUUGCUACGAAAGGGCACUCUAGAGAGACUGCCGGUGACAAACCGGAGGAAGGUGGGGAUGACGUCAAGUCCUCAUGGCCCUUAUGGGUAGGGCUUCACACGUCAUACAAUGGUGCAUACAGAGGGUUGCCAGGCCGCGAGGUGGAGCCAAUCCCAGAAAAUGCAUCGUAGUCCGGAUCGUAGUCUGCAACUCGACUAC
rnacentral:rRNA from 1 species